rnacentral:rRNA from 1 species
AUGUCUUCCUCCUCCGCCUCCUUCCAGUCGGCCCUCGGCGGUGGAGCCCCGGAGAAGCUAACCCACAGCAACUAUGUUUUGUGGUGGACUCAGAUCAUGCCACAUCUAUGGGGUGCCGGCCUCUUCCACUAUGUUGAUGGCACGGCAACGGAGCCGGCCAAAGUCCUCACCACCAAGGACGCCGCCGGCAAGGAUACCACUGAGCCGAAUCCCCUUCAUCCGCUCUGGGUGAAGGAGGAUCAGCAGGUCCUCGACUAUCUUCUCCAACACCUCUCCAAGGAAGUGCUCAUCACGGUGACCACGAUCACCACGGCGCGCGCUCUUUGGGUGGCACUGGCGAACAUGUUUUCGUCACAGUCAUUCAGCCGCGUCAACAACAUCCGGACAGUGCUGAUCAAUGCGCAGAAGGGCAAUUAA